rnacentral:piRNA from 1 species
UAGAAAAGCUAUGUUGUCUAGAUGGCACCU